GACGAACGCUGGCGGCGUGCUUAACACAUGCAAGUCGAACGGAAAGGCCUCUUUCGGGGGUUACUCGUGUGGCGAACGGGUGAGUAACACGUGAGUAACCUGCCCUUGACUUUGGGAUAACUUCAGUAAACUGGGGCUAAUACCGGAUAGGAGCUCCUGCUGCAUGGUGGGGGUUGGAAAGUUUCGGCGGUUGGGGGUGGACUCGCGGCUUAUCAGCUUGUUGGUGGGGUAGUGGCUUACCAAGGCUUUGCCGGGUAGCCGGCCUGAGAGGGUGACCGGCCACAUUGGGACUGAGAUACGGCCCAGACUCCUAAGGGAGGCAGCAGGGGGGAAGAUUGCAGAAUGGGUGGAAGCCUGAUGCAGCAACGCUGUGUGCGGGAUGACGGCCUUCGGGGUGUAAACCGCAUUCGUUAAUGACGAAGCUUUGUGUGACGGUAGUGGGUAAAGAAGCACCGGCUAACUACGUG
rnacentral:rRNA from 1 species